UCCUAGUUCUUCCUCAACCUAGACUAUUCAAAGCACGGCCCUUAAGUAGGGGCUAGUGCUGCAUGCUCUCUGCCCCACAGGGCCUACAUUCAGUUAGCUUGCAGAUUUGGACUUGGCUGUUUCUACUCGUUACAGGGAGUCAGAAAUUUGUUUGUGCUUACAUUCCAUAUUGUUACACUAUCACUUCUUCCUCAUAUGAGAGAUGGUCGGAACUGAAGCUAUAAUGUUUCCUUCACAAUAAUGGCUAGGAAUUCAUUUGAAGAGUGGGAUGAAGAGCAUAAUCUUUUGGUGAUUGUGUGGCUAACAGAUUGAUAUCUUUUCCUCCAACCAAAAGAGAAAACGAAAGAAGCUUAUAAUUUCUAUUGGUUCCGUAAUUGUUUGUCAUUUGAAGGUAGCAUCACUCUUUGAGAUGCUUUUCCUGUU